rnacentral:tRNA from 1 species
GGAGCCAUAGCUCAGCUGGGAGAGCGCUACGCUGGCAGCGUAGAGGUCAGGGGUUCGAGCCCCCUUGGCUCCA